rnacentral:rRNA from 1 species
CCCUUAGAUGUUCUGGGCCGCACGCGCGCUACACUGACGAAUGCAACGAGCUUAUAACCUUGGCCGAAAGGUCUGGGUAAUCUCCAAAUUUCGUCGUGAUGGGGAUAGAUUAUUGCAAUUAUUAAUCUUCAACGAGGAAUUCCUAGUAAGCGCGAGUCAUCAGCUCGUGCUGAUUACGUCCCUGCCCUUUGUACACACCGCCCGUCGCUCCUACCGAUUGAGUGUUCCGGUGAAUAAUUCGGACUGCAGUAGCGUGAGGACUCCUCACCUGCAGCGGAAAGUUUGGUGAACCUUAACACUUAGAGGAAGGAGAAGUCGUAACA